rnacentral:rRNA from 1 species
AGAGUUUGAUCCUGGCUCAGAACGAACGCUGGCGGCGUGCUUAACACAUGCAAGUCGAACGUGAUCCGGAGCUUGCUCCGGUGAAAGUGGCGCACGGGUGAGUAACGCGUGGAUAAUCUGCCCUGGUAUCUGGGAUAACAUCUCGAAAGGGGUGCUAAUACCGGAUAAGCCUACGGACUCUUCGGAGUCUGCAGGAAAAGGUGGCCUCUAUUUAUAAGCUACCGUAUCAGGAUGAGUCCGCGUACCAUUAGCUAGUUGGUGGGGUAAUGGCCCACCAAGGCUACGAUGGUUAGCUGGUCUGAGAGGAUGAUCAGCCACACUGGAACUGAGACACGGUCCAGACUCCUACGGGAGGCAGCAGUGGGGAAUUUUGCGCAAUGGGGGAAACCCUGACGCAGCAACGCCGCGUGAGUGAUGAAGGCUUUCGGGUCGUAAAGCUCUGUCAGAGGGGAAGAAAUGAGUCUGGCUAAUAUCCAGAUUUCUUGACGGUACCCUCAAAGGAAGCACCGGCUAACUCCGUGCCAGCCGCCGCGGUAAUUC